rnacentral:lncRNA from 1 species
CUUGAUCAGGCCCCGAAAUAACUGAAAUGUGGUUAAUUAGCAGCAGAUCGAGCCCUAUUUUUGGCCCUUGAAAGGACAAAGUGAAUCCUGCCCGGAGGGCGUAGCACGCUCUGGGAAGCUCCGGGAGGGAACAAACACAAACAGGGAGCAAAACAGUUUCAUUACUCGCAGAAGUUAUGCAGGCAGCAAAGUUUGUUUUGCAACUAAUUAAGACUUCAUGCAAAGAGGGUGUCACAUCCUCCAGGCGCUUCGGGGACGUGUAUAAAAGCAUUUGCUACGUAGAAGCCUCCCUAAUCACUUUUCUUUUCCUCUCCUCCUUGGGUGAUCCGGCUCUACCCUGCCCCAUGUCUCCCUUCCACGAGUGCUGCCUACCCGCGGGCCUGGCGUGCCCCGAGCCCUUCGCCGUCACCCGCAGCGACACCUGCGUCAUCAAGUACCCCGACACCGUGGUGGACAUCGUGGAGCCCGACUUUCCCCCCUACUCCGUCAUCUACCCCGGGCCCACGCUGACCACCUUCCCCCAGCAGACCCUGGUGGGCUCCACGGCCCUGCUGGACAUCAGGAACUUCCUGGGCUCCCAGGGAUUCCAUGGGUUCGGGGGCCAACCUAAACCCUGCCUGGAUAUCUGUGGAUAGACUGAAAAGCACAACUGAGCAGUCAGACAGAGCCCGACUAAAGUUUGUGGAUAAUGGAUUGUAGAAGUGCCGAGCUCCCGAGGUUCCCAUGGAGUCCAUAAAUCCAGGGAUUCCUGGCACUAGACCUGCCCGAGGACCAGAAUUUUCAAACUCUGAGAAAACUGAAAUUUUUCUAUUGACUUCAUUCCAAAUUAGGACAAACCAAAGCCCAGAAUUUUCCAAGAAACCAGAUUUUAAAAAAAAAUUAUCUCCUUUUUUUUUUCUUUUUUUUUUUUUUUUUUUUUUGGUUUGCUAAGAGUUUCUUGUCAAUAAAUUCGUUUUUAUGCCAACA